rnacentral:ncRNA from 1 species
CCCAUGAACUUAAGCAUAUUAAUAGGCGGAGGAAAAGAAACUAACAAGGUUUCCUCUAGUAACGGCAAGUGAAGCGGGA